rnacentral:tRNA from 1 species
GGGAAUAAAGCUCAGUGGUAGAGUGCUUGCCUAGCAAGCAUGAGGCCCUGGAUUCUAUGCCCA